GACGUAGGGCGCGAGCGUUGUCCGGAUUUAUUGGGCGUAAAGAGCUCGUAGGCGGCUUGUUGCGUCGACUGUGAAAACCCGCGGCUUAACCGCGGGCUUGCAGUUGAUACGGGCAGGCUAGAGUUCGGUAGGGGAGACUGGAAUUCCUGGUGUAGCGGUGAAAUGCGCAGAUAUCAGGAGGAACACCGGUGGCGAAGGCGGGAUCCUGGGCCCAGUACUGACGCUGAGGAGCGAAAGCGUGGGGAGCA
rnacentral:rRNA from 1 species